AGUGAACGCUGGCGGUAGGCCUAACACAUGCAAGUCGAACGGCAGCACAGUAAGAGCUUGCUCUUACGGGUGGCGAGUGGCGGACGGGUGAGGAAUACAUCGGAAUCUACUUUUUCGUGGGGGAUAACGUAGGGAAACUUACGCUAAUACCGCAUACGACCUACAGGUGAAAGCAGGGGAUCUUCGGACCUUGCGCGAUUGAAUGAGCCGAUGUCGGAUUAGCUAGUUGGCGGGGUAAAGGCCCACCAAGGCGACGAUCCGUAGCUGGUCUGAGAGGAUGAUCAGCCACACUGGAACUGAGACACGGUCCAGACUCCUACGGGAGGCAGCAGUGGGGAAUAUUGGACAAUGGGCGCAAGCCUGAUCCAGCCAUACCGCGUGGGUGAAGAAGGCCUGCGGGUUGUAAAGCCCUUUUGUUGGGAAAGAAAAGCAGCAGGUUAAGACCCCGCUGUUCUGACGGUACCCAAAGAAUAAGCACCGGCUAACUUCGU
rnacentral:rRNA from 1 species